ensembl:snoRNA
UGAUGAAUUGAUGACAGUCAUCUUUAGGAGUGACCUGAAAUGAAGAGAAUACUCACUGCUGAUCACUU